CGGAGGAAAAGAAACCAACAGGGAUUACCUCAGUAACGGCGAGUGAAGCGGUAACAGCUCAAAUUUGAAAUCUGGCUCUUUCAGGGUCCGAGUUGUAAUUUGUAGAAGAUGCUUCGGGUGAGGACCUGGUCUAAGUUCCUUGGAACAGGACGUCAUAGAGGGUGAGAAUCCCGUAUGUGAUCAGGACCCCUCGCCCAUGUGAAGCUCUUUCGACGAGUCGAGUUGUUUGGGAAUGCAGCUCAAAAUGGGUGGUAAAUUUCAUCUAAAGCUAAAUAUUGGCCAGAGACCGAUAGCGCACAAGUAGAGUGAUCGAAAGAUGAAAAGCACUUUGGAAAGAGAGUUAAACAGUACGUGAAAUUGUUGAAAGGGAAGCGCUUGCAACCAGACUUGCACGCGGUUGAUCAUCUGGGGUUCUCCCCAGUGCACUCUGCCGCGUUCAGGCCAGCAUCGGUUUCGGUGGUUGGAUAAAGGCCUUGGGAAUGUAGCUUCUUUCGGGGAGUGUUAUAGCCCUCGGUGCAAUGCAGCCUACCGGGACCGAGGACCGCGCUUCGGCUAGGAUGCUGGCGUAAUGGUUGUAAGCGACCCGUCUUGA
rnacentral:rRNA from 1 species